GGCAGGGUGGCUGAGUGUUAUAGCGGUGGAUUGUAGACCCAUGGACGGAGGUUAGAUUCCUUUUCCUGUCA
rnacentral:tRNA from 1 species